GGAAGUGAAGGCAGUCUGGCUGUACCCAUUGUCACCCAUCUGUCACCUCAUUGAUCACCAGGGUGGAUUCAGCUGAUCUGGCUGGCUGGGCAGGUAUUCCCUUCCUUCUUCACACUCCAUGUGCAUUCCUCUUGAAGCUGCAUGCUUGGUCAGAGAGGAAGAUCACCCCCAAUAGAGGAGGAUCAUUUCCUCAGUCAGGUUUAUACAAGUAGCUGUGCUCCCCUGCUAGUUCUCAAGAAAGUCAUGAUGAAGGGUUGGCCAGAUAGCUUAGUAGACUAAAGCACCUGCUUAGGU
rnacentral:snRNA from 1 species